rnacentral:tRNA from 1 species
AGCAGUGUGGCUUAGUGGCAAGAGCACGGGCCUGGGCGUCAGAAGAUAUGGGUUCUAAUCCCUGCUCUGCCA